ACUAACGCAUUCCUAAAUAAUCAAAAGACAGAAUCAUAGAAACCCUAACGCCUAAACCAGCAGCCAUCAGUCCUCGUCGUUGUCGACUUCCGCCAGCCACCGGUCUCCCUCUCGCCGUCUCGUCUCUCCCUCUCGCGGCUUCUUAUCUUCUUAUCCAGUGACUCAUACAUAGCUGAAAAUAUACAAAGUGAUAAGGUGAUGAUGGGUGAAAGUGGGGCUUCUAAUUCAAAUGCAAUAAGUCAAGCUCAAACAACAGAGUUAAAUAUAACCAACAAAAAGAGAAAAAGGUCUGUUGUGUGGGAUCAUUUUAUAGAAAUUAUUACUUCUGAAGGGAGUACAAAAGCAAUGUGACUAUCGCUUUAUUGAGUAUGUAUUUAAGACCAAUGACGAUUUAGCCAGCAAUGGAAAAGACCCUUCCGUAAUUGACGUGUAGCGUUAAUAUAUUUGGUGAGACUGUGACUUUAAUUGCUGAGACUGUGAAGUGAGACUGUGACAUUGAUUGCUGCAGUACAUAUGAGUACAGAAGCAUGGUGAUAAGAAGAAAGUGGAAUUGAUUCAAUGUGUUCUUUUUCCUUUUACUGUACUUUUUUGUUUUUGAACUAGUUGCUUACACUAUGUUGUUUCAUCCUUUUCUGAAGAAUUUAGAAAGCAAGGUCACAUGAUUGUGAACUUCCUUGCUGAUUACUAUCAAAAUAUUGAAAAAUAUCCAGUUUGUAGCCAAGUCAAUCCAGGCUAUCUCAAAGUAUUGUUGCCAAAACCAACAUAUUAAUACAUGCUCUUUUGUUGCUUGCUUUUUA